rnacentral:misc_RNA from 3 species
AACGCACCUUGCGCUCGUUGGUAUUCCGACGAGCAUGCCUGUUUGAGUGUCAUUAAAUUCUCAACCUCAACACUUUUGUGAUUGAUGGCUUGGAUGUGGAGGUUUUUCUGCAGGCUGUUAAAGUCUGCUCCUCUCAAAUGAAUUAGUGGGUGCCCCGCGCAAACCUAUCUAUUGGUGUGAUAAUUAUCUACGCCGUGGAUUAUAGGAUUGCUGUAAAAAGGUGUUUGCCCUGCUUCUAACUGUCCUCUGGACAACUUGAACCAUUUGACCUCAAAUCAGGUAGGACUACCCGCUGAACUUAA